rnacentral:rRNA from 1 species
GGUUUUUGGAAUUUAUCAAAAAUCUAACCUGCUCAAUGUUUAUAUAAAUAGCCGCGGUAUCAUGACCGUGCAAAGGUAGCAUAAUAAUUAGUCUUUUAAUUGGGGACUGGAAUGAAUGGUUUAACUAAAUAUUUUUGUCUUAUAUUUGUAUUUCUAAUUUUAUAUUUUAAUAAAAAAGUUAAAAUGUUCUUAAGGGACGAGAAGACCCUAUCAAGCUUUAUAAUUAUUUGUUUAUUUUCAAAUUAAAUAAAAUAUUAUUUUGCUGGGGCAGCAAAUAAUAAAAAUAUUAUUUAUAUAUUGUAGUUUCAAACUUUUAACAAACAAAAAAUUUUUAAAAAGAAAUAAGUUACUGUAGGGAUAACAGCAUAAUUUUUUUUAAGAGUUCUUAUCAUCAAAAAAGUUUGUGACCUCGAUGUUGGAUUAAGAUUCCUAAUUUGCGCAGUAGCAAUAAAAAGGAAGUCUGUUCGACUUUUAAAAUCUUCCA